CAACUAGAAUCGUACCAAAUUUUAAUGUCUCCUCCAACUUUAGAUAUCCCUCGAUAAAGAAUGAAAUCACAUAAUGUGAAUAGGAAUGCCGCGUGACGCCACCGCGAGCUGUAGCGAUGCGCGCGGGGCUCUGGAGGCGAAAUGCGGGCGAUUGCCUGGCGCGCGAGAAUUGGCUGGUUCGCAUGCGCAGACCGAUAGCUUUCUUCUACGACUGCGCAUAACAUCGCAGUCGGUGGACAUUUCACCACCAUUAUGUAUAAAAUACGAUCCCAUCAAAAACAUCUCAUAUGUGGAAGGAUGGGCCAAGUGCAG
rnacentral:lncRNA from 1 species